rnacentral:rRNA from 1 species
UACGGAGAGUGCAAACGUUGUUCGGAUUCACUGGGCGUAAAGGGCACGUAGGCGGCUCGGCAAAUCGGUCGUGGAAUCCAGACGCUUACCGUCUGAACGGCGGCCGAAAAUCCGGGCUCGAGGGCGUGAGGGGUCACUGGAACUCCUGGUGAAGCGGUGAAAUGCGUAGAUAUCAGGAGGAACGCCGGAGGCGAAAGCGGCUUACUGGGUCUCUUCUGACGCUGAGGCGCGAAAGCCAGGGGAGCAAACGGG